ACUCAGUUGACGAGUCCCAAACAGGACGAAACUUACAUCUUGAAU
rnacentral:hammerhead_ribozyme from 1 species